rnacentral:misc_RNA from 1 species
AAGGCUUGACAUGAACCGGAACGGCGCAGAGAUGUGUCGGCCACUUGUGGCCGGUUUACAGGUGGUGCAUGGUUGUCGUCAGCUCGUGUCGUGAGAUGUUGGGUUAAGUCCCGCAACGAGCGCAACCCUCGUUCCAUGUUGCCAGCGGGUUAUGCCGGGGACUCAUGGGAGACUGCCGGGGUCAACUCGGAGGAAGGUGGGGAUGACGUUACGGUCUUACU